rnacentral:rRNA from 1 species
UACGUAGGGUGCGAGCGUUAAUCGGAAUUACUGGGCGUAAAGCGUGCGCAGGCGGUGAUGUAAGACAGGUGUGAAAUCCCGGGGCUCAACCUCGGAACUGCAUUUGUGACUGCAUCGCUGGAGUGCGGCAGAGGGGGAUGGAAUUCCGCGUGUAGCAGUGAAAUGCGUAGAUAUGCGGAGGAACACCGAUGGCGAAGGCCAUCCACUGGGCCUGCACUGACGCUCAUGCACGAAAGCGUGGGGAGCAAACAGG